CAAACGCUGCUUAAGUCGGUACGGCAGGAUGUGAUACGAAAAUGGUAAAGAGCAUAUGACAAAAAUGCAUUAGGUACCACAUCUAGUCUGUAUCUCGUUUGUGCUAAAGUUUUUACUUCGUGGUAAAUUUGUGAUUCCUACGAAUAGUUUAAAAAUGGGUAAAGGAAACAAUAUAAUUCCUAAUGGUCAUUUUCAUAAAAAAUGGCGAACACUUGUAAAAACAUGUUUUAAUCAACCGGCGACUAAACAUCAUCGGAAGAAAAACCGUACGAUGAAAACUCGUGCUGUUAUGCCGAGACCUGUGAAAUUAAUGAGACCCAUAGUACAGUGCCCAACAGUGCGGUACCAUAAAAAAAUGAGACGAAAAGGUUUUACCUUGACUGAACUAAAAGUCAGUGGGUUAAAUAAAAAAUUUGCGAAAACCAUUGGAAUUGCGGUAGAUGCAAGACGACGCAACAAGUCUGUUGAGUGUUUGCAAACAAACUCUCACAGACUCAAAGACUACAAAUCGAAAUUGAUUCUCUUCCCAAUAAACAAGAAGAAACUUAAAAGUGGUGAUGCUCGUGAAAAAGAAAUUUUCACACAAGUUAAAGGAGAAAUCAUGCCUGUUAGACACCCAGCACAAGUUAAAGCUAAGGCUCGUGUAAUUUCCGAGACCGAGAAGAAGUUUUCUGCUUAUAUAACUGUUCGUACAGCUCGGGCUGAUGCCAGGCUAGUAGGAAUUCGUGCGAAAUAUGUCAAAGAUGCAGCGGAGAGUCCAGAUGAGGUUGCCAAAGACAAGAAAAUUAAAAAAUAAUCUGAAAUUUCACAUCUUCGAAAACCAAGAAUGACACCGAAUUUGAUGAACAUCUCGGACUAUUUCGGGCAAUCAAAAAUAACAUCUUGUGAAUCAGGCGGAGAGGCCUUGCAGUUUCAGUUGUUUUAUUAGUUCUGUUAUGGUCUCUGCCACGGAUGGAGAUUUUCAGAGUCAUGAUGGCUUAUUUUUGGAAAUUUAAUCUUGUAUAGCUCUACAUGCUCCUGGAUUUUCAACCCAGAAUGUCAGCUAGGAUACAAAAGACGCACCUAUGUAGUAGUCUUGUCCUGCUAUAGUAACUCCUACCUGGUCUCCUGCUCCUUCUUCAUCUGCAUCCGAUUCUUUUCCACAAAAUCCGUACUGGAACAGCAUACAGGAUGAUGAAUUCUCACACGUUACAAUAAUAAUAGCAGUAAGCUGCGCCAGGCCCCAACAAUGUGCACUGAUAUUGCAAAUUGACGAAAUUUCGCGUCAGUUGUAGCUUUGGUCCACAUUUCGGACAAUUUGUUUCAUCUAUAAAGAUCUAAUCAGAAAUUCAAUAAAGGCACCAUCAUUA